rnacentral:misc_RNA from 1 species
AGUUUGUCCUUCACUGUUGCGGGAGAGCAUCACAACAGAUUGAAGAAAAUGGGUCUGCUACGACACACGCUUAAAAAAGGCCUUUUGGGGCAUCAGGCCCAGGUGAGGCUCUUCCAUGGGUCAAGUGCAGCUGCUGCCAAAAAGGUUGCCAUGAGCAAGUUUGAUCAGGAUACCUUCAUAGAUUAUGAUAAAUAUGAAUACAAAUUAAAAACAGUAAGAGAAAAACUGAAUCGCCCACUGACUCUGUCAGAGAAAAUUUUAUAUGGACACAUUGAUGACCCCAAAACACAGGACAUUGAUAGAGGUGUAAGCUAUCUAAAGCUCAGACCUGACAGAGUUGCUAUGCAGGAUGCCACAGCUCAAAUGGCCAUGUUACAGUUCAUUUCCAGCGGAUUGCCAAAAGUUGCAGUCCCGUCCACCAUUCACUGUGAUCAUUUGAUAGAAGCCCAGAUUGGAGGAACAGAAGAUUUGAAACGAGCUAAGGAUUUAAACAAGGAAGUGUAUGAGUUCUUGGCUACAGCAGGAGCCAAGUAUGGAGUGGGAUUCUGGAAGCCUGGCAGUGGCAUCAUCCAUCAGAUCAUUUUGGAAAACUAUGCUUUCCCUGGUGCUCUUGUCAUUGGAACAGACAGUCACACACCAAAUGGAGGUGGUCUGGGAGGUCUGUGUAUUGGAGUAGGUGGAGCCGAUGCUGUUGACGUGAUGGCUGGACUUCCAUGGGAACUUAAAUGUCCAAAGGUUAUUGGAGUUAAACUGACAGGUAAACUGAGUGGAUGGACCUCUCCCAAAGAUGUUAUCCUUAAAGUGGCAGGGAUCCUUACAGUAAAGGGAGGAACCGGAGCCAUUGUGGAAUACCAUGGCCCAGGGGUCGACUCCAUCUCAUGCACAGGAAUGGGGACCAUUUGCAACAUGGGAGCAGAAAUUGGAGCCACCACUUCCUGCUUCCCGUAUAAUGGCAGAAUGGAGGACUACUUGAGGGCCACCAACAGAGGAGAGUUAGCAGACUUGGCAAACAAUUACAAAGGUUUCCUGUCACCAGACAAGGAUUGCUUCUAUGAUGAGCUGAUAGAAAUUGAUUUGAGCAAGCUGGAGCCACAUGUUAAUGGACCUUUUACUCCUGACUUGGCUCAUCCAAUCUCAAAACUAGGACAGACAGCUAAAGAUAGCAGUUGGCCUUUGGAUAUUAAAGUUGGUUUGAUUGGCAGUUGCACCAACAGUAGUUACGAAGAUAUGAGUCGAUCGGCCAGCAUUGCUCGUCAGGCAUUAAACAAAGGAGUUAAAUCCAAAAGCAAAUUUACCAUUACACCAGGAUCUGAACAAAUCAGAGCAACUAUUGAAAGAGAUGGACAGGCUGAAACACUUAGACAGAUUGGUGGAGUUGUUUUAGCUAAUGCUUGUGGUCCAUGCAUUGGACAAUGGGAUAGAAAAGAUGUGGCAAAAGGAGAGAAAAACACCAUUGUAACCUCAUAUAACAGAAAUUUCACAGGCAGAAAUGAUGCCAACCCUGCCACUCAUGCAUUUGUUACUUCCCCUGAAUUAGUGACUGCUCUGUCUAUUGCUGGAACAUUGGACUUCAACCCAGAAACAGAUUCCCUUCUUGCAGCCGAUGGUUCCAAGUUUAAAUUUGAGACCCCAUAUGGGGAUGAGUUGCCCACCAAGGGAUUUGACCCAGGUCAGGACACUUACCAGGCUCCCCCUGCUGAUGGCAGUGGUGUGUCUGUCAAUGUGGAUCCAAACAGCACUCGGCUUCAACUGCUGACACCUUUUGCAAAAUGGGACGGAAAAGAUAUUGAGAAUAUGCCAGUUCUUAUCAAGGUGAAAGGAAAAUGCACAACAGACCACAUCAGUAUGGCUGGUUACUGGCUGAAAUUCAGAGGACAUCUUGACAAUAUCUCAAACAACCUUCUGAUUGGAGCUACAAAUAUUGAAAAUGGAGAAGCAAAUAAUGUGAAGAAUCAACUCAAUGGUCAGUUUGGAACAGUCCCAGAAGUUGCCCGGUUUUACAAAGCCAACAAUGUUCCAUGGUGUGUGAUUGGAGAUGAAAACUACGGAGAGGGAAGCAGUAGAGAGCAUGCUGCUCUAGAGCCCAGACAUUUAGGGGGAAGAGCCAUUAUUGUCAAAAGCUUUGCCAGAAUUCAUGAGACAAAUCUGAAGAAGCAGGGUAUGCUUCCUCUGACAUUUGCUAAUCCUGCUGAUUAUGACAAGAUCCAGCCUUCUGAUCGCAUCUCUCUCAUUGGACUGAAAAACUUGGAACCAGGAAAGGUGAGAAAUGAAAAUCGCUUUGUUAGACACUUGCAAAAAACAUUAAAACAAUUGUUCAUUCGAGAGGAUGGGAGAGAGAUGUAGAUAGGAGAUAUUAUGGGGAAGAAGAUAUAUUUUGAUUAGGUUCUAUUGCUGUGUAUGAACUUAAUAUUUAUUGCAUUUAUUGUGAAAUGUAGCACAAAUAACAAUAUUUGAAUUUCUUUUGAUACAGCCUCUUCAAUGCAAAAUUACCCACGCUGAUGGUGGCUCAGAAACAAUUGAGCUUAACCACUCCAUGAACGAAGGACAGAUUACAUGGUUCAGAGCCGGAAGUGCCCUCAACAGAAUGGCAGAACUAAAAGCCAGCCAGUGAACUGUGAUCUGAAUUUUACUAACUGUACAUGUAGAUACUGAAGUCAAUUUUUAGCAGCAUUUUUUGUUGUUUUCAUGUGAUAUUGCACAGAUGUGAAAUUUGUCCUUGACAAUGAACUGUGAACGGGACAGAUUUGUUUUUAAAUUGUCUAUUUUGUCAUUUUAAUUUCCAAAUUAUAAAUUAAAUGGUGAUUUUGUC